AUUGAACGCUGGCGGCAGGCUUAACACAUGCAAGUCGAGCGGGGGAAGGUAGCUUGCUACUGGACCUAGCGGCGGACGGGUGAGUAAUGCUUAGGAAUCUGCCUAUUAGUGGGGGACAACAUCUCGAAAGGGAUGCUAAUACCGCAUACGUCAUACGGGAGAAAGCAGGGGAUCUUCGGACCUUGCGCUAAUAGAUGAGACUAUGUCGGUUUAGCUAGUUGGUGGGAUAAAGGCCUACCAAGGCGAGGAUCUGUAGCGGGUCUGAGAGGAUGAUCCGCCACACUGGGACUGAGACACGGCCCAGACUCCUACGGGAGGCAGCAGUGGGGAAUAUUGGACAAUGGGGGGAACCCUGAUCCAGCCAUGCCGCGUGUGUGAAGAAGGCCUUAUGGUUGUAAAGCACUUUAAGCGAGGAGGAGGCUACUCUAGUUAAUACCUAGGGAUAGUGGACGUUACUCGCAGAAUAAGCACCGGCUAACUCUGUGCCAGCCGCCGCCGUAA
rnacentral:rRNA from 1 species